CAAUAGCGUAUAUUAAAGUUGUUGCAGUUAAAAAGCUCGUAGUUGGAUUUCGGAGCGGGCCAGUUGGUCCGCCGCAAGGUGUGUUACUGACUGGUCUGUUCUUCUUCGCAAAGACUGCGUGUGCUCUUCGCUGAGUGUGCGUAGGAUUUACGACGUUUACUUUGAAAAAAUUAGAGUGUUCAAAGCAGGCUGUCGCUUGAAUACAUGAGCAUGGAAUAAUGGAAUAGGACUUUGGUUCUAUUUUGUUGGUUUCUAGGACCGAAGUAAUGAUUAAGAGGGACAAUUGGGGGCAUCCGUAUUUCGUUGUCAGAGGUGAAAUUCUUGGAUUUACGAAAGACGAACAACUGCGAAAGCAUUUGCCAAGAGUGUUUUCAUUAA
rnacentral:rRNA from 1 species